GUACACUCCUGCGGGAGGCAGCAGUGGGGAAUUUUGGACAAUGGGCGAAAGCCUGAUCCAGCCAUGCCGCGUGCAGGAUGAAGGCCUUCGGGUUGUAAACUGCUUUUGUACGGAACGAAACGGCCUUUUCUAAUAAAGAGGGCUAAUGACGGUACCGUAAGAAUAAGCACCGGCUAACUACGUGCCAGCAGCCGCGGUAAUACGUAGGGUGCAAGCGUUAAUCGGAAUUACUGGGCGUAAAGCGUGCGCAGGCGGUUAUGUAAGACAGUUGUGAAAUCCCCGGGCUCAACCUGGGAACUGCAUCUGUGACUGCAUAGCUAGAGUACGGUAGAGGGGGAUGGAAUUCCGCGUGUAGCAGUGAAAUGCGUAGAUAUGCGGAGGAACACCGAUGGCGAAGGCAAUCCCCUGGACCUGUACUGACGCUCAUGCACGAAAGCGUGGGGAGCAAACAGGAUUAGAUACCCCAGUAGUCCC
rnacentral:rRNA from 1 species